CGCGGGGUAGAGCAGUGGAAGCUCGUCAGGCUCAUAACCUGGAGGUCGUCGGUUCGAGUCCGACCCCCGCAACCA
rnacentral:tRNA from 1 species